CAAAACAAAUCAUUAAAGUUCCUUUGAUGGAUUCUUAUUGAUUCAGUCUCCGUUAUAAACUGCGGCAAUUCUGAUAGUCAUUUCGAUUUUAAAACCUAUUCUUGAAUCAUUUGGUGCUCUCGAUCAUUCCUGCGUUUUCGGCGUAAUGAGCUGUCUGAGCUUCCUUCACUGUGCGUCGGUUAAAACCAUUGGAGAAAGGAAGAACUGAACAUUUAGCGCGAUAAGGGCUACUAUGACACCUAACAGGCAAGUGGGAAGUUUAUUUCUGGUUCUUGGAUUAGGUAAAGCAAGGUCCAAACAUGCCAGCGAAUACCAAAAAGCUAAGCGCCUACCGGUCUGAAUUGAAGCGAAAAAAAAUGUACUGUCGUUUGACUUAUACAAUUUUGGAGCGAAACAAACGGGAAAUUGAGGCGGCGUCAGACGUCGAGAAAUAUUUCUAUGGAUUGUGUACCCUUUAAAUAACCAACGGGGUUUCGUUGCAUCCCAAAUGCUGGCAAAAAUCAAAAUGCGACGAUGUAAAAAGGCUGUGAAGACUCUUUUCUCCGACACGGUACUAGGGUAACCGUACUCUUAGUGGAGGUAGCACCAAUAGUGGAGGUAGUGGGGUUUUAAUGAGAUUUAUCAUAUUUAUAUAGUUAACGAUGGUUUCAGUUGAUGCGUCGUGCU